AAAUUGAAGAGUUUGAUCAUGGCUCAGAUUGAACGCUGGCGGCAGGCCUAACACAUGCAAGUCGAACGGUAACAGGAAGCAGCUUGCUGCUUUGCUGACGAGUGGCGGACGGGUGAGUAAUGUCUGGGAAACUGCCUGAUGGAGGGGGAUAACUACUGGAAACGGUAGCUAAUACCGCAUAACGUCGCAAGACCAAAGAGGGGGACCUUCGGGCCUCUUGCCAUCGGAUGUGCCCAGAUGGGAUUAGCUAGUAGGUGGGGUAACGGCUCACCUAGGCGACGAUCCCUAGCUGGUCUGAGAGGAUGACCAGCCACACUGGAACUGAGACACGGUCCAGACUCCUACGGGAGGCAGCAGUGGGGAAUAUUGCACAAUGGGCGCAAGCCUGAUGCAGCCAUGCCGCGUGUAUGAAGAAGGCCUUCGGGUUGUAAAGUACUUUCAGCGGGGAGGAAGGGAGUAAAGUUAAUACCUUUGCUCAUUGACGUUACCCGCAGAAGAAGCACCGGCUAACUCCGUGCCAGCAGCCGCGGUAAUACGGAGGGUGCAAGCGUUAAUCGGAAUUACUGGGCGUAAAGCGCACGCAGGCGGUUUGUUAAGUCAGAUGUGAAAUCCCCGGGCUCAACCUGGGAACUGCAUCUGAUACUGGCAAGCUUGAGUCUCGUAGAGGGGGGUAGAAUUCCAGGUGUAGCGGUGAAAUGCGUAGAGAUCUGGAGGAAUACCGGUGGCGAAGGCGGCCCCCUGGACGAAGACUGACGCUCAGGUGCGAAAGCGUGGGGAGCAAACAGGAUUAGAUACCCUGGUAGUCCACGCCGUAAACGAUGUCGACUUGGAGGUUGUGCCCUUGAGGCGUGGCUUCCGGAGCUAACGCGUUAAGUCGACCGCCUGGGGAGUACGGCCGCAAGGUUAAAACUCAAAUGAAUUGACGGGGGCCCGCACAAGCGGUGGAGCAUGUGGUUUAAUUCGAUGCAACGCGAAGAACCUUACCUGGUCUUGACAUCCACGGAAGUUUUCAGAGAUGAGAAUGUGCCUUCGGGAACCGUGAGACAGGUGCUGCAUGGCUGUCGUCAGCUCGUGUUGUGAAAUGUUGGGUUAAGUCCCGCAACGAGCGCAACCCUUAUCCUUUGUUGCCAGCGGUCCGGCCGGGAACUCAAAGGAGACUGCCAGUGAUAAACUGGAGGAAGGUGGGGAUGACGUCAAGUCAUCAUGGCCCUUACGACCAGGGCUACACACGUGCUACAAUGGCUCAUACAAAGAGAAGCGACCUCGCGAGAGCAAGCGGACCUCAUAAAGUGCGUCGUAGUCCGGAUUGGAGUCUGCAACUCGACUCCAUGAAGUCGGAAUCGCUAGUAAUCGUGGAUCAGAAUGCCACGGUGAAUACGUUCCCGGGCCUUGUACACACCGCCCGUCACACCAUGGGAGUGGGUUGCAAAAGAAGUAGGUAGCUUAACCUUCGGGAGGGCGCUUACCACUUUGUGAUUCAUGACUGGGGUGAAGUCGUAACAAGGUAACCGUAGGGGAACCUGCGGUUGGAUCACCUCCUUA
rnacentral:rRNA from 2 species